AGCGCGACGGUGAGUAUGUGCAGAACUGCCUAUGGAGGGGGAUACUACUGAAACGGUAGCUAUACCGAUAACGUCGCAAGACCNAAGAGGGGACCUUCGGGCCUCUUGCCAUCAGAUGUGCCCAGAUGGGAUUAGCUAGUAGUGGGGUAACGGCUCACCUAGCGACGACCCCUAGCUGGUCUGAGAGGAUGACCAGCCACACUGGAACUGAGACACGGUCCAGACUCCUACGGGAGGCAGCAGUGGGGAAUAUUGCACAAUGGGCGCAGGCCUGAUGCAGCCAUGCCGCGUGUAUGAAGAAGGCCUUCGGGUUGUAAAGUACUUUCAGCGGGGAGGAAGGUGUUGUGGUUAAUAACCACAGCAUUGACGUUACCCGCAAAAAAGCACCGGCUAACUCCGUGCCAGCAGCCGCGGUAAUACGGAGGGUGCAGCGUUAUCGGAAUUACUGGGCGUAAAGCGCACGCAGGCGGUCUGUCAAGUCGGAUGUGAAAUCCCCGGGCUCAACCUGGGAACUGCAUUCGAAACUGGCAGGGCUAAGUCUUGUAGAGGGGGGGUAAAAAUUCCAGGUGUUAGCGGUGAAAUGCGUAAAAGAUCUGGAGG
rnacentral:rRNA from 1 species